GCGUGAGUGAUGACGGCCCUAGGGUUGUAAAGCUCUUUCGGCGGGGACGAUAAUGACGGUACCCGCAGAAGAAGCCCCGGCUAACUUCGUGCCAGCAGCCGCGGUAAUACGAAGGGGGCUAGCGUUGUUCGGAAUCACUGGGCGUAAAGCGCACGUAGGCGGAUCGUUUAGUUGGGGGUGAAAUCCCGAGGCUCAACCUCGGAACUGCCUUCAAUACUGGCGAUCUUGAGUCCGAGAGAGGUGAGUGGAACUCCGAGUGUAGAGGUGAAAUUCGU
rnacentral:rRNA from 1 species